rnacentral:lncRNA from 1 species
CUACAGAAGAGGAGGCAGGUCGCCAGAGCCCAGGAUAUACUUACCAUUGACAUGGCUGGAACAUUUGACAGGGUUAGAACUGAGCCAUGGCUGAAAAUUCCAGAAGCCUUUCUGAAUCAUACCAGUCACUGGAGCCUGGCACUGUCCAAGGCUGAUUAAGAUGCCACCAGAAAUAGAAAAAAGAAAAAUGUCUUCUAUCUUCCUUUUGCCUUCCCAGUACCCACCAUUUCUUCCAAUCAUCAGAAACUGCCUGAAAGUCCCCUGGCAAAGGAGUCUAGGAAAUGAUUUCUGUAGGAUUCCAACCCUCAGUGACACAGGGCAGAAAGGCAACCAUAGAGCUGAAGGAACAAAAGCAGAUGACUAGCAAUACAGUCUAGCCUCAAGUCUGUACCUUAUGACAAAAGUACUGAAGAGGCAGAGUGGCCAUGAGUAGGCAAAUAAGACCCAAGGUCUACUUAACAAUGUGGUUGCAGCUUCACGAAAGAUUCUGAAGUAAAUAACUGAAUUGAAGUUGUACUCUAUCUCCUGAUGCCAGGCCCAUCAAUGUUAUGUUGCUUGAAGCUGUUAGGUUUGUGGGAAUUUGUUACAGAGCAGUAGAUGACUAAUCCAAUCAGUGAAUGGCGUGGGAUGGGAACACCCAGGAAAGCAUAUUAAAUGAAGUUUGGAAUGAUGAAGAAUUUUUCAAAAGGGAGCAAGAGUUUAGUCAUCAGAGUCAAUAGUAAAUACAAGUUCCUGGGAGAGGAAGGCCAUAGUUCAUCUGGGGAUCUACUGGUUGGUGUUGCUAGACCAACAUAGGGGAGUACAGAACCAAGAUAAUGUGAUGAGAGGUUAAAAAUGAAGAUUCAAUCAACUGUGGCUGAAAUCUCUGGCUCCACCGUCACUAGCAGAAAUGCUACACUUAGAAUUUCAUGGGAAGGAGGCAUUGCUUCAUGGGAGGAAGUAGUGAGGAAUAUGGAAACACCUGAUCUCUCUGCCUUCCAACUUCAAAUGUGUGCCAAACUCAAGACCUCCAAAUCAGGCAUGUCUCAGCGAGUCUUUCAUGGUGCUUCCAGAAGUGUAGGGUGA